ACAAUUCAAUAGGGGAGUCUGUGUACAGUCUGAGAGGAAGUGUAAGCUUCGACCGCACCUGAUCUGGGUAAUGCCAGCGUAGGAAUUCAGCAAGAUGUCAG
rnacentral:ncRNA from 1 species